rnacentral:rRNA from 1 species
ACAACGGAGGUGCAAGGGCUGUCGCUGGCCUUCAAAGGUCGUGCACGCCCGGGCCCUCUCACAAUCCAUCUCACCCUUUGUGCAUCACCGCGUGGGUCCCCUUUGCGGGAGGGCUCACGUUUUAACAUAAAAACUCGAUACAGUGUAGAAUGUUUAUUUUUGCGGUCACACGCGAUCAAUACAACUUUCAACAACGGAUCUCUUGGCUCUCGCAUCGAUGAAGAACGCAGCGAAAUGCGAUACGUGAUGUGAAUUGCAGAAUUCAGUGAAUCAUCGAAUCUUUGAACGCACCUUGCGCCCCUUGGCAUUCCGAGGGGCACACCCGUUUGAGUGUCGUGAAAUCCUCAAAACCCCUCUUCUUUGGGAGUUUUGGAAUUGGAGGUUUAAUGCUCGCUUUUGCCUUUGAAAGUGAGCUCCUCUCAAAUGAAUCAGUGGGGUCUGCUUUGCUGGUCCUUGACGUGAUAAGAUGUUUCUACGUCUUNNNUUGGCAUCGUCCCUGCUCCUAAUCGUCUCAUGGACAAUGAUGGUGCUUCCGGNCACCGCCAUCCACAUCGGCGGGAGNNUGGACCCACAAAGAGAAAACCUUGA